rnacentral:rRNA from 1 species
GACGAACGCUGGCGGCGUGCUUAACACAUGCAAGUCGAACGGAAAGGCCCUGCCUUUGUGGGGUGCUCGAGUGGCGAACGGGUGAGUAACACGUGAGUAACCUGCCCUUGACUUUGGGAUAACUUCAGGAAACUGGGGCUAAUACCGGAUAGGAGCUCCUGCUGCAUGGUGGGGGCUGGAAAGGUUCGGUGGUUGGGGUUGGACUCGCGGCUUAUCAGCUUGUUGGUGGGGUAGUGGUUUACCAUGGCUUUGACGGGUAGCCGGACUGAGAGGGUGACAGGCCACAGUGGGACUGAGGAACGGCCCAGACUCCUACGGGAGGCAGCAGUGGGGAAUAGUGCGCGAUGGGCGGAAGCCGUAUGCAGCAACGCCGCGUGCGAGAUGACGGUUUUAGGGUUGUAAACCGUUUUAGCCUGUGACGAAGCGUGAGUGACGGUAAUGGGUAAAGAAGCACCGGCUAACUACGUG